CCUACGGGAGGCAGCAGUCGGGAAUCUUGCACAAUGGGCGAAAGCCUGAUGCAGCAACACCGUGUGAGCGAUGAAGGCCCUAGGGUCGUAAAGCUCUGUUGUUGGGGACGAAGGUCGAAGGGUUAAUAGCCCCUAGACUGACGGUACCUUUCGAGGAAGCCCCGGCUAACUACGUGCCAGCAGCCGCGGUAAUACGUAGGGGGCGAGCGUUGUCCGGAAUUAUUGGGCGUAAAGAGCGUGUAGGCGGUUCGGUAAGUCUGUCGUGAAAAUCCAGGGCUCAACCCUGGACGUGCGAUGGAUACUGCCGGGCUAGAGGAUGGUAGAGGCCAGUGGAAUUCCCGGUGUAGCGGUGAAAUGCGCAGAUAUCGGGAGGAACACCAGUAGCGAAGGCGGCUGGCUGGGCCAUACCUGACGCUGAGACGCGAAAGCGUGGGGAGCAAACAGGAUUAGAUACCCUGGUAGUCCACGCCGUAAACGAUGAACACUAGGUGUUGGGGGAGUCGAAUCCCUCGGUGCCGCAGUUAACGCGUUAAGUGUUCCGCCUGGGGAGUACGGCCGCAAGGCUAAAACUCAAAAGAAUUGACGGGGGCCCGCACAAGCAGCGGAGCAUGUUCUUUAAUUCGAUGCAACGCGAAGAACCUUAC
rnacentral:rRNA from 1 species